AACGAACGCUGGCGGCAGGCCUAACACAUGCAAGUCGAACGCUCCGCAAGGAGAGUGGCAGACGGGUGAGUAACACGUGGGAAUCUUCCUAUCGGUACGGAAUAGCUCAGGGAAACUUGAGGUAAUACCGCAUACGCCCUUCGGGGGAAAGAUUUAUCGCCGAUAGAUGAGCCCGCGUCUGAUUAGCUAGUUGGUGGGGUAAUGGCCCACCAAGGCGACGAUCAGUAGCUGGUCUGAGAGGAUGACCAGCCACACUGGGACUGAGACACGGCCCAGACUCCUACGGGAGGCAGCAGUGGGGAAUAUUGGACAAUGGGCGCAAGCCUGAUCCAGCCAUGCCGCGUGAGUGACGAAGGUCUUCGGAUUGUAAAGCUCUUUUGCCAGGGACGGUAAUGACGGUACCUGGAGAAUAAGCCCCGGCUAACUUCGUGCCAGCCGCCGCGGUAAUAC
rnacentral:rRNA from 1 species